rnacentral:rRNA from 1 species
GUAGGUGGCAAGCGUUGUCCGGAAUUAUUGGGCGUAAAGCGCGCGCAGGCGGUCCUUUAAGUCUGAUGUGAAAGCCCACGGGCUCAACCGUGGAGGGUCAUUGGAAACUGGGGGACUUGAGUACAGAAGAGGAAAGCGGAAUUCCACGUGUAGCGGUGAAAUGCGUAGAGAUGUGGAGGAACACCAGUGGCGAAGGCGGCUUUCUGGUCUGUAACUGACGCUGAGGCGCGAAAGCGUGGGGAGCAAACAGGAUUAGAUACCCUGGUAGUCCACGCCGUAAACGAUGAGUGCUAAGUGUUAGGGGGUUUCCGCCCCUUAGUGCUGCAGCUAACGCAUUUAGCACUCCGCCUGGGGAGUACGGCCGCAAAGGCUG